CUUUUUUCUAGCAAAGACAUGCACUGUGCCAGCUCUUUAGGUUUGGUCUGGUUUGCCUCUUUCUCCACAUCCUUGCCAGCAUCUGCUGUCACCUGAGUUUUUGAUCUUAGCCAUUCUGACUGGUAUGAGGUGGAAUCUCAGGGUUGUUUUGAUUUGCAUUUCCCUGAUGAUUAAGGAUGUUGAACAUUUUUUUAGGUGCUUCAUGACCAUUCGGUAUUCCUCCGUUGAGAAUUCUUUGUUUAGCUCUGUACCCCAUUUUUAAUAGGGUUAUUUGGUUUUCUGGAGUCUAACUUCUUGAGUUCUUUGUAUAUAUUAGGAUAUUAAGGUGACAAUGCCCAAGGCGGGGC
rnacentral:lncRNA from 1 species